GCCUGGUGCAGAUGGCUCAAUGGCAAUAGCAUCAUCUGGCUCAGAAUACUCUCCUCCAGAGGCAGGGGUUCAAAUCCCCCUGCAGGCA
rnacentral:tRNA from 1 species